rnacentral:rRNA from 1 species
UACGUAGGGUGCAAGCGUUGUCCGGAAUUACUGGGCGUAAAGGGCUCGUAGGCGGCCAACUAAGUCGGAUGUGAAAUCCCCAGGCUCAACCUGGGAACUGCAUCCGAUACUGGAUGGCUUGAAUUCGGGAGAGGGAUGCAGAAUUCCAGGUGUAGCGGUGAAAUGCGUAGAUAUCUGGAGGAAUACCGGUGGCGAAGGCGGCAUCCUGGACCGACAUUGACGCUGAGGAGCGAAAGCCAGGGGAGCAAACGGG